AUUGAACGCUGGCGGCAGGCCUAACACAUGCAAGUCGAACGAGUGGCGGACGGGUGAGUAAUGUCUGGGAAACUGCCUGAUGGAGGGGGAUAACAACUGGAAACGGUAGCUAAUACCGCAUACCAUGGGAUGUGCCCAGAUGGGAUUAGAUAGUAGGUGGGGUAAAGGCUCACCUAGGCGACGCUCCCUAGCUGGUCUGAGAGGAUGACAAGCCACACUGGAAUGGAGCCACGGUACAGACUCCUACGGGAGGCAGCAGUGGGGAAUAGUGCACAAUGGGCGCAAGCCUGAUGUAGCCCUGCCGCGUGUAUGAAGAGGGCCUUCGGGUUGUAAAGUACUUUCAGCGGGGAGGCGUUACCCGCAGAAGAAGCACCGGCUAACUCCGUGCCAGCAGCCGCGGUAAUUC
rnacentral:rRNA from 1 species